CACGUAGUUAGCCGGUGCUUAUUCUUCAGGUACCGUCAUCACUCCAGGGUAUUAACCCGAAGCUUUUCUUCCCUGACAAAAGCGGUUUACGACCCGAAGGCCUUCUUCCCGCACGCGGCAUGGCUGGAUCAGGCUUGCGCCCAUUGUCCAAAAUUCCCCACUGCUGCCUCCCGUAGGAGUCUGGGCCGUGUCUCAGUCCCAGUGUGGCUGGUCGUCCUCUCAGACCAGCUACAGAUCGUCGCCUUGGUAGGCCUUUACCCCACCAACUAGCUAAUCUGACAUCGGCCGCUCCAAUAGCGCGAGGCCCUUGCAGGUCCCCCGCUUUCCACCCAUGGGUCUAUGCGGUAUUAGUCCGGCUUUCGCCCGGGUUACUCCCCCUACUACCUCGGGCCACGGUUCCCGAUUGUAUUACUCCACCCGUUCGCC
rnacentral:rRNA from 1 species